rnacentral:rRNA from 1 species
UACGUAGGGGGCAAGCGUUGUCCGGAAUCAUUGGGCGUGAAGAGCGUGUAGGCGGCUUGGUAAGUCCGCUGUGAAAGUCCAGGGCUCAACCCUGGAAAGCCGGUGGAAACUGUCAAGCUUGAGUCCGGAAGAGGAGAGUGGAAUUCCUGGUGUAGCGGUGAAAUGCGCAGAUAUCAGGAAGAACACCCGUGGCUAAGGCGGCUCUCUAGUACGGUACUGACGCUGAGACGCGAAAGCGUGGGGAGCGAACAGG